rnacentral:misc_RNA from 1 species
GAUGAAGAACGUAGCGAAAUGCGAUACUUGGUGUGAAUUGCAGAAUCCCGUGAACCAUCGAGUCUUUGAACGCAAGUUGCGCCCGAAGCCAUUAGGCCGAGGGCACGCCUGCCUGGGCGUCACACGUCGUUGCCCCCCCCAUCUACUCCUUCGGGAUUGCGGGGGGCGGAUGAUGGCCUCCCGUGCGCCUCGCCGCGCGGUUGGCAUAAAUGCCAAGUCCUCGGCGACGCACGCCACGACAAUCGGUGGUUGCGAAACCUCGGUUGCCCGUCGUGUGCGGUCGUCGCGCAUCGAGGGCUCGAAAAAAUUGCCGGGUUCCGGCUCGGCUUUCAACGCGACCCCAGGUCAGGCGGGGUUACCCGCUGAAUUUAAGCAUAUCAAUAAGCGGAGGA